rnacentral:rRNA from 1 species
GACGAACCGUGCGAACGUUGUUCGGAUUCACUGGGCUUAAAGGGCGCGUAGGCGGGUUUUCAAGUCUGGGGUGAAAUCCUCUCGCUCAACGAGAGAACUGCCCUGGAUACUGGAGACCUCGAGGGAGGUAGGGGCAUGUGGAACUUCCGGUGGAGCGGUGAAAUGCGUAGAUAUCGGAAGGAACGCCGGUGGCGAAAGCGACGUGCUGGACCUCUUCUGACGCUGAGGCGCGAAAGCCAGGGGAGCAAACAGG